rnacentral:rRNA from 1 species
AGAGUUUGAUCCUGGCUCAGGAUGAACGCUAGCUACAGGCUUAACACAUGCAAGUCGAGGGGAAACGAUAUUGGAAGCUUGCUUCCGAUAGGCGUCGACCGGCGCACGGGUGAGUAACGCGUAUCCAACCUGCCCACCACUUGGGGAUAACCUUGCGAAAGUAAGACUAAUACCCAAUGAUAACUCUAGAAGACAUCUGAAAGAGAUUAAAGAUUUAUCGGUGAUGGAUGGGGAUGCGUCUGAUUAGCUUGUUGGCGGGGUAACGGCCCACCAAGGCAACGAUCAGUAGGGGUUCUGAGAGGAAGGUCCCCCACAUUGGAACUGAGACACGGUCCAAACUCCUACGGGAGGCAGCAGUGAGGAAUAUUGGUCAAUGGACGAGAGUCUGAACCAGCCAAGUAGCGUGCAGGAAGACGGCCCUAUGGGUUGUAAACUGCUUUUAUAAGGGAAUAAAGUGAGAGUCGUGACUCUUUUUGCAUGUACCUUAUGAAUAAGGACCGGCUAAUUCCGUGCCAGCAGCCGCGGUAAUACGGAAGGUCCGGGCGUUAUCCGGAUUUAUUGGGUUUAAAGGGAGCGUAGGCCGGAGAUUAAGCGUGUUGUGAAAUGUAGACGCUCAACGUCUGCACUGCAGCGCGAACUGGUUUCCUUGAGUACGCACAAAGUGGGCGGAAUUCGUGGUGUAGCGGUGAAAUGCUUAGAUAUCACGAAGAACUCCGAUUGCGAAGGCAGCUCACUGGAGCGCAACUGACGCUGAAGCUCGAAAGUGCGGGUAUCGAACAGGAUUAGAUACCCUGGUAGUCCGCACGGUAAACGAUGGAUGCCCGCUGUUGGUCUGAAUAGGUCAGCGGCCAAGCGAAAGCAUUAAGCAUCCCACCUGGGGAGUACGCCGGCAACGGUGAAACUCAAAGGAAUUUACGGGGGCCCGCACAAGCGGAGGAACAUGUGGUUUAACUCGAUGAUACGCGAGGAACCUUACCCGGGCUUGAAUUGCAGAGGAAGGAUUUGGAGACAAUGACGCCCUUCGGGGCCUCUGUGAAGGUGCUGCAUGGUUGUCGUCAGCUCGUGCCGUGAGGUGUCGGCUUAAGUGCCAUAACGAGCGCAACCCCUCUCCUUAGUUGCCAUCAGGUUAAGCUGGGCACUCUGGGGACACUGCCACCGUAAGGUGUGAGGAAGGUGGGGAUGACGUCAAAUCAGCACGGCCCUUACGUCCGGGGCUACACACGUGUUACAAUGGCAGGUACAGAGAGAC